AUCCAGUCUUGGUGCACAGCGUACGGGUAGCUCACCGGAGGGGCCGCAUCUGGCCUUCCCUUGCCUCGGGUCUUGCCCUCUCCGCUUCUCUGGUCCCUGGAGGUGGACACUAG
ensembl:misc_RNA